rnacentral:tRNA from 1 species
GGACUCUUAGCUCAAUCGGUAGAGCAUCGGACUUUUAAUCCGUUGGUUACAGGUUCAAGUCCUGUAGGGUCCACCA